UACGAAGGGGGCUAGCGUUGCUCGGAAUCACUGGGCGUAAAGGGUGCGUAGGCGGGUCUUUAAGUCAGGGGUGAAAUCCUGGAGCUCAACUCCCAGAACUGGCCUUUGAUACUGAGGAUCUUGAGUUCGGGAGAGGUGAGUGGAACUGCGAGUGUAGAGGUGAAAUUCGUAGAUAUUCGCAAGAACACCAGUGGCGAAGGCGGCUCACUGGCCCGAUACUGACGCUGAGGCACGAAAGCGUGGGGGAGCAAACAGG
rnacentral:rRNA from 1 species